rnacentral:ncRNA from 2 species
AUACCUUUGCUGCGUAUUGGUUCUUAACAUUUGUUUAAGCUAAGAGGGAAUCAGGUGAAACUCCUGAACAGUUACCGCUGCUGUAAGCUCCACUGAUGUUUCGGCUCACCUUAAGCCACUGUCCGCCUCAGGCGGAUGGGAAGGCCGGCCGGAAUGGAGUAAGUCAGAAGACCUGCCAUUACAUGUUGCAUUUG